GACGAACGCUGGCGGCGUGCUUAACACAUGCAAGUCGAACGGAAAGGCCCUGCUUUUGUGGGGUGCUCGAGUGGCGAACGGGUGAGUAACACGUGAGUAACCUGCCCUUGACUUUGGGAUAACUUCAGGAAACUGGGGCUAAUACCGGAUAGGAGCUCCUGCUGCAUGGGGGGGGUUGGAAAGUUUCGGCGGUUGGGGAUGGACUCGCGGCUUAUCAGCUUGUUGGUGGGGUAGUGGCUUACCAAGGCUUUGACGGGUAGCCGGCCUGAGAGGGUGACCGGCCACAUUGGGACUGAGAUACGGCCCAGACUCCUACGGGAGGCAGCAGUGGGGAAUAUUGCACAAUGGGCGGAAGCCUGAUGCAGCAACGCCGCGUGCGGGAUGACGGCCUUCGGGUUGUAAACCGCUUUCGCCUGUGACGAAGCGUCAGUGACGGUAAUGGGUAAAGAAGCACCGGCUAACUACGUG
rnacentral:rRNA from 1 species